rnacentral:rRNA from 1 species
AUUUGGUCGUAGACCCGAAACCAGGUGAUCUACCCUUGGUCAGGUUGAAGUUCAGGUAACACUGAAUGGAGGACCGAACCGACUUACGUUGAAAAGUGAGCGGAUGAACUGAGGGUAGCGGAGAAAUUCCAAUCGAACCUGGAGAUAGCUGGUUCUCUCCGAAAUAGCUUUAGGGCUAGCCUCAAGUGAUGAUUAUUGGAGGUAGAGCACUGUUUGGACGAGGGGCCCCUCUCGGGUUACCGAAUUCAGACAAACUCCGAAUGCCAAUUAAUUUAACUUGGGAGUCAGAACAUGGGUGAUAAGGUCCGUGUUCGAAAGGGAAACAGCCCAGACCACCAGCUAAGGUCCCAAAAUAUAUGUUAAGUGGAAAAGGAUGUGGCGUUGCCCAGACAACUAGGAUGUUGGCUUAGAAGCAGCCAUCAUUUAAAGAGUGCGUAAUAGCUCACUAGUCGAGUGACACUGCGCCGAAAAUGUACCGGGGCUAAACAUAUUACCGAAGCUGUGGAUUGUCCUUUGGACAAUGGUAGGAGAGCGUUCUAAGGGCGUUGAAGCAUGAUCGUAAGGACAUGUGGAGCGCUUAGAAGUGAGAAUGCCGGUGUGAGUAGCGAAAGACGGGUGAGAAUCCCGUCCACCGAUUGACUAAGGUUUCCAGAGGAAGGCUCGUCCGCUCUGGGUUAGUCGGGUCCUAAGCUGAGGCCGACAGGCGUAGGCGAUGGAUAACAGGUUGAUAUUCCUGUACCACCUAUAAUCGUUUUAAUCGAUGGGGGGACGCAGUAGGAUAGGCGAAGCGUGCGAUUGGAUUGCACGUCUAAGCAGUAAGGCUGAGUAUUAGGCAAAUCCGGUACUCGUUAAGGCUGAGCUGUGAUGGGGAGAAGACAUUGAGUCUUCGAGUCGUUGAUUUCACACUGCCGAGAAAAGCCUCUAGAUAGAAAAUAGGUGCCCGUACCGCAAACCGACACAGGUAGUCAAGAUGAGAAUUCUAAGGUGAGCGAGCGAACUCUCGUUAAGGAACUCGGCAAAAUGACCCCGUAACUUCGGGAGAAGGGGUGCUCUUUAGGGUUAACGCCCAGAAGAGCCGCAGUGAAUAGGCCCAAGCGACUGUUUAUCAAAAACACAGGUCUCUGCUAAACCGUAAGGUGAUGUAUAGGGGCUGACGCCUGCCCGGUGCUGGAAGGUUAAGAGGAGUGGUUAGCUUCUGCGAAGCUACGAAUCGAAGCCCCAGUAAACGGCGGCCGUAACUAUAACGGUCCUAAGGUAGCGAAAUUCCUUGUCGGGUAAGUUCCGACCCGCACGAAAGGCGUAACGAUUUGGGCACUGUCUCAACGAGAGACUCGGUGAAAUCAUAGUACCUGUGAAGAUGCAGGUUACCCGCGACAGGACGGAAAGACCCCGUGGAGCUUUACUGUAGCCUGAUAUUGAAAUUCGGCACAGCUUGUACAGGAUAGGUAGGAGCCUUUGAAACGUGAGCGCUAGCUUACGUGGAGGCGCUGGUGGGAUACUACCCUAGCUGUGUUGGCUUUCUAACCCGCACCACUUAUCGUGGUGGGAGACAGUGUCAGGCGGGCAGUUUGACUGGGGCGGUCGCCUCCUAAAAGGUAACGGAGGCGCUCAAAGGUUCCCUCAGAAUGGUUGGAAAUCAUUCAUAGAGUGUAAAGGCAUAAGGGAGCUUGACUGCGAGACCUACAAGUCGAGCAGGGUCGAAAGACGGACUUAGUGAUCCGGUGGUUCCGCAUGGAAGGGCCAUCGCUCAACGGAUAAAAGCUACCCCGGGGAUAACAGGCUUAUCUCCCCCAAGAGUUCACAUCGACGGGGAGGUUUGGCACCUCGAUGUCGGCUCAUCGCAUCCUGGGGCUGUAGUCGGUCCCAAGGGUUGGGCUGUUCGCCCAUUAAAGCGGUACGCGAGCUGGGUUCAGAACGUCGUGAGACAGUUCGGUCCCUAUCCGUCGUGGGCGUAGGAAAUUUGAGAGGAGCUGUCCUUAGUACGAGAGGACCGGGAUGGACAUACCUCUGGUGUACCAGUUGUCGUGCCAACGGCAUAGCUGGGUAGCUAUGUGUGGACGGGAUAAGUGCUGAAAGCAUCUAAGCAUGAAGCCCCCCUCAAGAUGAGAUUUCCCAACUUCGGUUAUAAGAUCCCUCAAAGAUGAUGAGGUUAAUAGGUUCGAGGUGGAAGCAUGGUGACAUGUGGAGCUGACGAAUACUAAUCGAUCGAAGACUUAAUCAA